CAGCCGCCACGGGAAUACGUAGGGUGCAAGCGUUAAUCGGAAUUACUGGGCGUAAAGCGUGCGCAGGCGGUCCGUUAAGACAGAUGUGAAAUCCCCGGGCUUAACCUGGGAACUGCAUUUGUGACUGGCGGGCUAGAGUAUGGCAGAGGGGGGUAGAAUUCCACGUGUAGCAGUGAAAUGCGUAGAGAUGUGGAGGAAUACCGAUGGCGAAGGCAGCCCCCUGGGCCAAUACUGACGCUCAUGCACGAAAGCGUGGGGAGCAAACAGGAUUAGAUACCCCUGUAGUCCCUGUCUCUUAUAC
rnacentral:rRNA from 1 species